rnacentral:rRNA from 1 species
UGGGGAAUUUUGGACAAUGGGCGAAAGCCUGAUCCAGCAAUGCCGCGUGUGUGAAGAAGGCCUUCGGGUUGUAAAGCACUUUUGUCCGGAAAGAAAUCCUUGGCUCUAAUACAGUCGGGGGAUGACGGUACCGGAAGAAUAAGCACCGGCUAACUACGUGCCAGCAGCCGCGGUAAUACGUAGGGUGCAAGCGUUAAUCGGAAUUACUGGGCGUAAAGCGUGCGCAGGCGGUUUGCUAAGACCGAUGUGAAAUCCCCGGGCUCAACCUGGGAACUGCAUUGGUGACUGGCAGGCUAGAGUAUGGCAGAGGGGGGUAGAAUUCCACGUGUAGCAGUGAAAUGCGUAGAGAUGUGGGGGAAUACCGAUGGCGAAGGCAGCCCCCUGGGCCAAUACCGACGCUCAUGCACGAAAGCGUGGGGAGCAAACAGGAUUAGAUACCCUGGUAGUCCACGCCCUAAACGAUGUCAACUAGUUGUUGGGGAUUCAUUUCCUUAGUAACGUAGCUAACGCGUGAAGUUGACCGCCUGGGGGAGUACGGUCGCAAGAUUAAAACUCAAAU